rnacentral:lncRNA from 1 species
GGGAUCAGCACACAUGCCACCACUUUAGCAAAGCUGGAGGGAGCCCCACACAUGGUACCAGCCACUGCCCAGCGGGAUGAGUUGACUGGGAGCACACAUUCACCAACUCCGGUCUCAUAAAGCCCCAGAAACUCUCUGGUAUCAGCUGGCUGCUCUGUGGGACCCCCCUCACCUGUGAAAUGCAGUUAAGCUGUCCUGAGCAGCAUGAUAGCACGCCUGCUCAACACUGGCCAGACAAUCUCCAGUGUGACCACAGGGGUGCUGGUUUAAUUUUAGGGGUGUUGUUCAGAGAAUGGCUUGAGGAAGACAGGGUAACAUUCACUAGUCACAGAAAGGUGUGUCAUGUCUGGAGAAUGGAGAGUGAAGGACUGGCAGGGGCAGGGCAGACAGGACUGACUGCAGGGCCAUGAUGGAGGUGCUGAUUUGAAGUGCAGUGGGAAUUCCUAUGCAUGGCUGAAAGCCUGGAGCGCAAAUGCAGGCAAGACGUACCAGGAGGGCGAAGCCACGGGGAAGGUCCGCUCGUCCAGGCAGCUGGCCCGGCACCGAGUGUAGCCGAAAGGAAGCUUCUGGGGCCAAGAGGGAUCGGCACGGAAGGAGGAGGACAAAGACCCAGAGAAGCCACAGCGCCCGAGAGCGUCCGGAGGAAGGGUGCGGGGAAGGGCAGCGGCCCACGCGAGACGCCUCGGAGGCCACGACCGAGGGUCUCACGGUUCCGUGGGGCUGCUCCGCCUCACUGGGCUCCCAGCAAAGGUAUCCUCUAAGGCCACUCCCGGACCCCAGCCGUAGCAAGAGCGGCCUGCGGGGAGAGGGCGGGGCGGCCCCGCUGUCAAUCACGAC